UCAAAAAAAAAAAAUCUAAAUUCCCUGAGACCCUUUACCUACAAGGACCCCACUCUUCCUGUGGCUCCUGCUUCAUCUUGUGCUGCCUUUGUGACACUCCAGCAACACUGGCUGGCUUCCUGGUCCUUGAACACACCGAGCCUUUCCUAUCUCAGAGCCUUAUCUCAACUCCAAGACAGCCACCAUCAACUCCUUCCCUUCCCAAAUGUACCAACCAUUCUCCCUUUGAGAAAGGGAGUCUAAUUACCCAUGUCCUGGACUCUGAGCUGGCCCGUGACUGCUUUGACCCACAGGAUCCUGCAGAAGUGACUCUAGGCCUGUCUAGGUCUAGUCUUCAAAAAAACAGGCAGUUUCCUCCUUCCUGCCCACUGUGGAGAAAGGCAGGCUCCACGUAAGAAGUCCAGCCAUGCUGAGGCCUCCAUGCUACUAAGAGGCCCAAACCAGCCAUGUGCAGAAGCCACAUGGAGAGAGAUCACUGGAUAGCUGGAUAGCCAACCGCAACUCCAGCCAGCCUAACCCACCGCCAGACACAUGAGGCACCAUCAUUGACAUCCAGCCAAAUCAAGCCUUUGGAUGACUCCAGCCCCAACAGCUAUCUGACUACAGCUGCAUGGGAGACCCCAGCGAGAACGGACACCCAGCAGGGCCCAAUCAAUCGAUGGAGCUGUGAGAAAUAAUAAUAGGUUUCUGUCCUAACCAUUAAGUUUGGGGGUAGUUUUGUCUCUCUUCCAGAAUGUUCUUUCUCCCUUCUUCUUACCCUCAUGUCCUCCAGGGUUAAUCAUUGUCAAGCUUCUGUCCCCAUCAUACUUCAGGGCCUUCCCCUUCCCCACCCUACUGUAAUAUCAGGGUCCCCAUGGCCCCAACUGCCAUUGCAUUGCUCACACCCUCUACGCUCCCUUUCUGCCAUUGCUCAUAAAUGAGUUAUUCUGCUCAUGGCUGCUGCCUCUCCCCUCACUACACGUGAGCUCUCUGAGGUUAGAAGCCAUGAAUACUUAGACCACCAUUUCAUUACUAUACCUAGCAGAUAGUAUAUGUUCAAUAAAUAUUUGUCAAAUAGAUGAAUAAGGCAUAAUCUCUCUACACAGCACCAAGCUGCUGGACAAGGUGAUGAUGAAUUUCCAGAGCCCCAGUAGACUACCAAGCAAAUACAUGAGUAAUUACACUUAGCCAUGGCAUUAGUCUUGAUCCAAGGGACUCAUAAGCUAGUUAAAAAGUCCCCAACGUAAGUUCUUUCCAUAUCCCCCAACGCAGCUGAUCUGCAAAUGGUUACAUAGAAGUUGCUCAUUUCAUAGUCACCAAUUGGUUGGUAGAAAAUGGGAUCGGAAAAACCCUGAUGCCUUAAAGGAUGGGUUACAAGUAGAGCCAGUUCUGGAAAUUCUGUGUCACACUGCAGGGAUUUCCCAAAACCUGAAAGAGGUCAUUUAAAAGACAAUCAAGAGAGACUGAGGUUUUGUCCUUCUCUUUCACCAACUCUCCUCAGUGCAGAACUGCACCUGCCCACAUGGAAGGCUGGGAGCACGCCAUAUGGCCGCUGAGUCUAGUCCCACUGGGAAAUUUCACCUGGUGAGAAGGCCAGAAAAAUUUUGCCAGCCAGAGGCGUGAGUGCAGGAAGAAGCAGGGCAGUCCAGCACUCUGGAUCGCUGGGCCCUGGGUCAUCAGAUCAGAGGUUAUAAUGCCCUGAUUAUCACCGUCCAGAUUGCACUGUGUACCGACACCUCCCUUACUUCGAUGUCUAGUUUUGAUCCACACUAGGUAUGUCAGUUUCUAUGUUGAAGGAUGUCAAAAUUAUGGCCAUGGUUCUUUCUUUCUGACCUGACCUUUCUUAUGCCACUUUCUUCUCAAAUCUCACCAGUACCCAUCAUCUCUCUCCCCACAACAGCUUAUCUUUCCUAAAUUUCCUUUGCUCCUCCCCUAAUGGCCUGUGAGUUUCUGCCUCUUCCCUGCAUUCUGACAGUACUGCAGCACACAACUGAGAUGGUCUGGGGUGUCUUCCCCUCCUCUCUGACCACAGGAUGCCAGGGAGCCAUAGAGGAGAGAGGAGGGUGAGUGGCUGAUAAUAUUUGGGUCGUGGGUAAUUAGGAGUCAGAAGAUGCACAUCCUUCUCCCAGCUCUGCCACCUCCAGCCAUGUGACCUUUAUUCAAGUACUUAACCUCCUGAGCCUCAAGGUAUGCAUCUUGAAAAUAAAUAACCACGUGGAAGCUAUUCAUAAUUAUAAGGAUAAUAUUAAUAACAAUUGUGCCUGCCCCUCCUACAAUGGAGAUGGAGACGGACAUACUCUGUACAUUUUAAAUCCUAAACAUAUGUACAAAAAUACAAUUUCUGCUGUCUGGUUGUGAGGAAGCCUGGUCUCACAUAGGUUGAGGUCCCUGGCUCUGCCCUCAAUUGUGUCACUUAAAUAAGUCACUUUGAGCCUCAAAAUCUUCAACCAGAAAAAGAGAGAGUAGAAAUGGUCAUGAAAGCACCUUCUAGGACCUGUAUUCUGGGUCUAUUUCACCACUUUUUAUCCCCAGCAUUGUGUUUAGUAUAUAGUGAGCAUUCAACAAAUAUUUUUGAAUGGAUGAAUGUGUAAUUUGUUAUAUUUAUGAUCCAGACAUAAAAAUAUCGACCCAUGCACACGAGGAGUUGCUAAAAGAAGUCUGGCUGGGGGCAAGGUGGCAGAUGGAGGAGGUUUCUAAUGAAAACCAGCAGGCCAAGGGCAUGCCCUCCUCUCCCUCCUCACUUCCACACCCUCCACCCCAGUGUCCUGAGAGCCCGUCCUGGCUGAGAUGCCCUGACAACUUCACGCUCAAUUCCCCACCCCGUGGCAUGCAACGGAACAGCUGGAUAUGGAGCAACUGCCUGAAAAUGUGAGCAGGUGCAGAGUGGAAUCCCACGCUCGUUCCACUAAGGUGGUGUUAACGACCUCCCUGGAAUCCCUGCGAUGACAGCACGUCCUCCCCAGGUAUUUCCAGCUGCUGGGGAGGUUGCUCCGAGAAAUCUAAGUACAAUAGCCCGUCUCUGGGCAGCUGCUGUUACCCCAGCAACCUCUCAC